UACGUAGGGUGCAGGCGUUAAUCGGAAUUACUGGGCGUAAAGCGUGCGCAGGCGGUUUGUUAAGACAGGUGUGAAAUCCCCGGGCUUAACCUGGGAAUUGCGCUUGUUACUGGCAGACUUGAGUGUGGCAGAGGGGGGUGGAAUUCCAAGUGUAGCAGUGAAAUGCGUAGAUAUUUGGAGGAACACCGAUGGCGAAGGCAGCCCCCUGGGUUAACACUGACGCUCAUGCACGAAAGCGUGGGGAGCAAACAGG
rnacentral:rRNA from 1 species